AGCAGCCGCGGUAAUUCCAGCUCCAAUAGCGUAUAUUAAAGUUGUUGCAGUUAAAAAGCUCGUAGUUGAAUUUCGGGAUCAGUUGAUCGGUCGUGCCUCGGUACGUACUGGUCAAAUUGAUUCCUACCUUCUGACGAACCACGAUGUCAUUAAUUUGGUGUCGUGGGAAAUCAGGACUGUUACUUUGAAAAAAUUAGAGUGUUUAAAGCAGGCUCGCGCUUGAAUACAUUAGCAUGGAAUAAUGAAAUAGGACGUUUGAUUCUAUUUUGUUGGUUUCUAGGAUCGACGUAAUGAUUAAUAGGGAUAGUUGGGGGCAUUAGUAUUCAAUUGUCAGAGGUGAAAUUCUUGGAUUUAUUGAAGACUAACUACUGCGAAAGCAUUUGCCAAGGAUGUUUUCAUUAAUCAAGAACGAAAGUUAGGGGAUCGAAGACGAUCAGAUACCGUCGUAGUCUUAACCAUAAACUAUGCCGACUAGGGAUCGGAUGAUGUUAAUUUUAAUGUACUCAUUCGGCGCC
rnacentral:misc_RNA from 1 species